rnacentral:rRNA from 1 species
UGGGGAAUAUUGCACAAUGGGCGCAAGCCUGAUGCAGCCAUGCCGCGUGUGUGAAGAAGGCCUUCGGGUUGUAAAGCACUUUCAGCGAGGAGGAAGGGUAGUGUGUUAAUAGUACAUUGCAUUGACGUUACUCGCAGAAGAAGCACCGGCUAACUCCGUGCCAGCAGCCGCGGUAAUACGGAGGGUGCAAGCGUUAAUGGGAAUUACUGGGCGUAAAGCGCACGCAGGCGGUUUGUUAAGUCAGAUGUGAAAUCCCCGCGCUUAACGUGGGAACUGCAUUUGAAACUGGCAAGCUAGAGUCUUGUAGAGGGGGGUAGAAUUCCAGGUGUAGCGGUGAAAUGCGUAGAGAUCUGGAGGAAUACCGGUGGCGAAGGCGGCCCCCUGGACAAAGACUGACGCUCAGGUGCGAAAGCGUGGGGAGCAAACA